AAUGUGUUGAUGUUUGCGUUCGACAACAGAGUUUUGUUGGAAAGUCUCAACACAUGAAUGAUAAGAAACAAUGUCUUUUGAUAUGAAAAAUGAAUAAAAAUUCAACUCAUGAGCAUGUCAGAUCUCACAGAUUUAAUGAGAGUUUUAUAUUGUAUAAGGAUGAGAGUAUAAAAGUCAGAAAAAAUGGUAAGAACAUUCGACUUUUGACGAAGAAGAUACACUCAAGUAGUGCGAGUGCAAUCAUCAACAAUU
rnacentral:lncRNA from 1 species